GCGCGAAAACUUCACAAUGUGCGAAAGCACGAUGAGGGAAUCCCAAGUGCUUGCACGUAAGUGCAAGCUGUUUCUAUGCCUAAAACACAUAGAGAGUAAGGGCUGGGUAAGACGGGUGCCAGCCGCCGCGGUAAUACCUGCAGCUCAAGUGGUGGCCGCUAUUAUUGGGCCUAAAACGUCCGUAGCCGGUUUAAUAAAUGCCUGGGUAAAUUGUAUAGCUUAACUAUACGAAUUCCGGGUAGACUGAUAAACUUGAGACCGGGGGAAGUUAGAGGUACUCCUGGGGUAGAGGUGAAAUUCUGUAAUCCUAGGGGGACCACCGGUGGCGAAGGCGUCUGACUAAAACGGGUCUGACGGUGAGGGACGAAGCCCUGGGGCGCAAACGGG
rnacentral:rRNA from 1 species